rnacentral:lncRNA from 1 species
CCCUGGUCCUCGCCUUGCGUCCGGUCUGGAGCUGUCACCCCGGAGUACCUCUCGGAGUCGGCUGGAAGCAGCCAGCAGCGCAGCUCACUCCCGAGCGCCGGCGCCCUAGAGAGCCAGCAGUCUCCGCCGCAGCUCACAACAAAGGAAACAUGUGACCGUCCCGGCCAAAACACUGAGCGUCACCCAGCCCUGGCCAAUCCGGGGGGGCGGCCUCCGCGCGGGGCACGCUGGGAAUUAUAGUUCCAAACCUGCUGAUUGGAAAGGUUGUGUUGCACAGCCGGUUACGGAAAUGCAGCUUAUGCAAGGAGCCUACUGAGAAACAUGCGUAGUAGACUUAUUGUCCUCAACGCUUCUCCAACACCCUAGGCACAAACAGAACUAGGAAUUCCCAGAACCAAAGAGCUUGGAGUAAAGCCUAGAGAUCUCUUUAUUUGAUCAUUUCCUGUCCAAUUGGGAAAUCUGAGGACCUGAGGGGUGGAAAGGAGUAGUCACUAGAAGGCUCGAGAGAAACUUCCUUUCUUUGUAAAUCUCUUGUCACUUGUAUCAAAUCCUAGGUUACCUUUUUAUUUUAAACAUACAAGCAAGUUGAACUGUUGCAGAUCAAUAUUCCAAAGCAGAUUGAUUCCCCAAAGGGCAUUAUUUUGUCAUUUUGUUUUUGCAAAUAUUUUUUUCGAGGAUGAAUGUAUAACCUGGUUUUUCCACCAAUUAACUGGUUUUUAAUAUCAAAGUUAUAGCUCAUUUCUCUUCUACACUUCAUGAAUACAAUCAUGUGUCUAUUACAUGAGAGGAUGUGACCAGGAAAUAAUAUAGAAGGAAGAGUAAAAAAGGAAAGAAUGAAGAGUAAAAGAAUAUAAAAUAUCCAUUACAUAGAAUUUGAAAAACAAGCUUGGAGAAAUAAAGUGACUUAGGAACCUAGAAACCAAAGCUAGCCCACAGCGUCCCCAGACAGGGUCCUGUUUUCUAAAGAGAGGCUGCCCACUGGGUACAGGAAAGCAUUCUGCCUUUGCUCUUAGAUACCUGCAUUCCGAGGCCACAUAACUGAGCUCAAACGGUGCG